GGUUCUACAGUGCACCACAAAAAUCAAGAAAACGAAGACAAAUCUCUUGCUCUGGAAUCCAGUACUCCCCAGAUCCCAGCCUGCAUCUGCCUCUGAAGCCUCCUUCCUCACUCUCUCCUGCUCACAAUCUUUCCUCCAGCCACACAGCUGCAAGCUUCUUAGGCUGCUCCUUUAGCCCGAACUAGCCCCUCCGUUUACACAAUAAUUUCUGUCCUACUCAUGCCUUGCUUUGCCCAGUUGUGCUUGAUGCUUGAAACCCUCUGUAACAACCCUGAACAGUAGAACUUUCUACUGGAUGAUAUAAAGUGUUAGAAGCACUGAUUUGUUAAGAAAAUUUCCAGAGUCACACAGCUAUAACUGGCAAAGCUGUACUUCAAACUUGGAAAGUCGACUUCUAGAAUCCAGAAGUUUAAGCCCUAGACCAGCGUUUUUCAAAGUGUGGUUCCCAGACCAGCAGCGGCGGUGUCACCUGGAACUUAUCACAAAGACAAGCUUCCGAGCCAACUUCAGACCUACUCAUUGGAAGCUCAAGGCUCAUAGGUGAAAGAGACUUGCCUUGUCUCAGAUGAGGCCUUGGACUGGACUUUUGGAUUAAAGCUGGAAUGAGUUAAGACUUUGGGGGACUGUUGGAAAGCCAUUAUUGUGUUUUGAAAGGUUUUGAAUGACUUCAUCAGUGACAUCUAUCAAUUCACCACUUUUCUCUCCAACUGUGUUUUGGAAGUCUACUGCUUUCCUCUCUAUCGUGUAUUUUAUUUCACUGGCUUUUUCCCCUUGAAUUAUGUUUUCCUAUCCUUGCUUUUGUAUUUAAUUUUUGCCUGAUUUUGUGUCCUUUUUAAAAAUGGAAGUUAUAACCUAUAUUUUUGAACACCUCAAACAUAUUUUAUCUGACUAAAAUAUAUUUGUAAUCAAAUUACUGACUAUGUCAGCCUGCUUUAA
rnacentral:lncRNA from 1 species